UACUUUCAUCAAGAAACUUUCUUCGGCAAACGAGUGUAUAUUGACCUAAGGAAAGAAUAAAAAAAAAAAAAAAGGAAAAAUCAUGUUACCCAUCACGUCAACAUUUUACUUACACACAAGAUGCGAGCAAGAAUCUUCAAAUAUGGACGUAUCUUCACGUUCCAGACGAUCUGUGUCACCAACUGUAUGGGCCAAUUUAACAUACCACGGGUUUCGAAACAAAAGUAUCGACCCGGGAUUAGAUCUCGAAGAGAAAUUCGAUAAUACAGCAAUAGAAGCUUGUCAUUCUUUGUAUUUUCUAUUAGACUUCUUUCAUCAGUACUACAUUCCUUCAAUCAUAUUACUAGGAUUGAUAGGCAACCUGUUGUCUUGCGUUGUGUUCCUAAACACACAUCUAAGGAUACGAAGUUCCAGUUACUAUUUGGCCGCACUGGCCACGGCCGACUUCACUUUCUUAGUUACAUUAUUGUUAGUUUGGUUGAACAACACGUUAGGAUGGAAAGUGUUCAAUAAAGAUGGCUGGUGCGAAACAUUAGUCUACGUGAGCGCUGUUUGCAGCUCUCUUAGUGUAUGGUUAAUCGUUGCAUUUACCGUGGAGAGAUUUAUAGCGGUUCAGUAUCCUCUGCACAGACCCCAUAUAUGCACCAUAGCGAGGGCAAAGACUAUCGUAUUGGUGUUGGUGAUUUUAGCAUUGGCCAGUCAUUCGUACUCAUUCGUGACGGCUGGAAUGGUUAUGAACAAAGACGGAGAAGAAUAUUGUGAUAUGAAAGUCGAGUACAUGGAAACAAUGAAGAUAAUCAGCAUCAUCGACAGUAUAGCUAGCCUAAUUGCGCCACUGGUUCUUAUCAUUGUGAUGAACACCAUGAUCACGAGGAACUUGUUGAGGUUUAGCAGACGAUUCAAACAAACAUCAAGCACGUCUACAGAUUGUCCAAGCAGAGAAAGAUCUGACAUCAAUUUGAAUCAAAUUCCGAGUGGUAGCAGUAGCAACAACGGUGCCGGUGGCAUGAAUCUAGGACCAAUGGUCGGAGGUCGACGGCCACCCUCGCAGCAAUCGUUUCAUUCGUCGAAGAAUAACCAUUCUCAUCAUUCUCGGCAUCAGACUACGUCCGCUCCGCCAUCAACACCGAGAAACGCCUGUCAGCUACCCGAAAUAGGGAAUCGUUGUAUACAUAUUAGAUCAUCGUCGAAAAACCUUGUAUCCACAAGAAAUCAACAAAACAUCACGAAAAUGCUGCUUUUAAUCAGUACCGUCUUUAUUCUUCUCAAUUUACCAAGUUAUGUUAUACGGUUAUGCGUAUUCUUCUUUACGCUCGCCCGCAAAAAUACACCUGACCUGCUUUGGUGUAUACAACAGUUUUUUAUGCUUCUUUAUUAUACCAACUUCAGCAUCAAUUUUCUAUUGUAUGCAAUGUGUGGUAUCACGUUUCGACGUUGUUUACAGCAAUUGUUACGCAAAAUAUUGAAAAGCAUGACCAGAUAUCAUUGCAAUCCGCAACGAUACAUAUAGAAAUUAUAGAAACAAUUUUUGGACAAUCGUACAAGAAUCACAAUUUCAGAAAGCGUGAUAUGAAUAGUGUCACGUGACUAUCAUGGCGCUUUAGUCACGUGGUUAAAUAUACUACUUCAACGAUAUCUCGCAUGUAAAAAGAUCACGUCUCAGUCAUUUAUAACGCUGAUUGUAUGUAACGUAUAUAGGUUAUGAAUAAGAGUUUCUGGAAAUAUGAUAAUUAUACCGAUUUACUCUAAGUACAGUUAGUUUCUUUCAAUGUAUACUCAGUGAACAAUGUAUUAUUCAGUGAUCUCAUAUUCCAGUAAUUGCCGUUUGAUUAUUUUAUGCUAUUGAAAUAGGAAAUAAUGAAAAGGAAAUAAACGAUCAAUGAAUAAUCUGGCACCAUCAUAGCGACUGGACGGAAUAGAGCUUUCAAAUUGUCCGGUAAUUCCGUUCGUCCCGCAUAACCAGGAUUCAUAGUAAUGAAAACCGCACAAGAUGGCUUCAAAACAAUUUCUUCUCCUUCGAAGAUGAAUCUGAGAAAUUUCAUUGUUAUAUUUUAUACCAGUGUUUCCCAAUCUUUUUUUUUUAAAAGUCAUAAUUCAAAUUUAUAAUAAUCUUUUUUUCUUUAUAUAAAGUAAACAAAAUUAAAAGCAAUGAACAAUGAUUCGUUUGAAUUAACACGAGUUAAUUGAGUUAAAUAACGAGAAAAUUUUAAUAUUCUUGUAAAAUAUAAAAAUAUUAUUAUAUUAAAAUGAAUAUGUAAAAAUCUUUCAAUAAAAAUAGCGACCCCUUUUAUGAGCCUUUGAAUCGCGAUUCGUAAAUUGAGAAUUUACAUUUAAAUAAUUUUAAAUCUAAUAUUUUAUAGAUAUACCAAAAUGUGUUGCUUGCUUAUUUAUGUACUCACUUAUCAACCCGCAUUUGUUGCGCUUGUUGGAUUGUCAUAAUUUGCUGGGCAAUGACGGACAAUACUUCGAUAUCUAUCCUAUUAAAUUCGUCAAAGCACGCCCAUGCACCUGCGCUAUGAGAAUUAAUAUCAAGAACAUGAAAAAUUACUAUGGAAAAUACAAAGAACAAAUACAAUAAAUAAUUAAGAUUGUAAAUAAUAAUUAAUAAAUGCAAUGCCUGUCAAUGCGAAAAAUUACAUUUUAAUUACACGAAUGCAAUGAAGUUGACAUUAAUAACCAAUUGAAAACUUUCAUGAAUUUGCUAAAAAAAAAAACCGAUAUUUUCAUUAUGAAAUUUAAUGAAAUUUACAAUUAAUAAAUUUCAACGAAACUAUAUUUAUA